rnacentral:tRNA from 1 species
UCUUUUAUGGUGUAUGUUUUAGCACUAUAGAUUUUCAGUCUACGGGAAUAUAUUUUAUAUUAAAAGUU